GCCUGGGUGGCUCAGUCAGUUAAGCACCUGACUUUGGCUCAGGUCCUGAUCUCAGAGUCUGGGAUCAAGCCCCAGCCCAAGCA
rnacentral:tRNA from 1 species